UAUCCGUAGGUGAACCUGCGGAAGGAUCAUUACUGAGUGAGGGCCCUCUGGGUCCAACCCCCCACCCGUGUUUAUUAUACCUUGUUGCUUCGGUGAGCCCGCCUCACGGCCGCCGGGGGGCAUCUGCCCCCGGGCCCGCGCCCACCGAAGACACCUAGAACUCUGUAUGAAGAUUGCAGUCUGAGCAAAAACUAAAUAAGUUAAAACUUUCAACAACGGAUCUCUUGGUUCUG
rnacentral:misc_RNA from 1 species